GGACGAUCAUGGCUCAGAUUGAACGCUGGCCGGGAUGCGCUACGCAAAUCGAACGGCAGCACGGACUUCGGUCUGGUGGCAGUGGCGAACGGGUGAGUAAUGUAUCAGAACGUGCCUAGUAGCGGGGGAUAACUACGCGAAAGCGUAGCUAAUGCCGCAUGCGUAUUCGAGGGGAAAGCGGGGGACCUUCGGGCCUCGCACUAUUAAACGGCCGAUAUCGGAUUAGCUAGUUGGUGGGGUAACGGCUCACCAAGGCGACGAUCCGUAGCUGGUUUGAGGACGACCAGCCACACUGGGACUGAGACACGGCCCAGACUCCUACGGGAGGCAGCAGUGGGGAAUUUUGGACAAUGGGGAAACCUGAUCCAGCCAUCCCGCGUGUGCGAUGAAGGACCUUCGGGUUAUCGCGCUUCUUGGCGGGAAAGAAACGGCUGCAGGAUAAUACCCCGUGCAACUGACGUACCUGCAGAAUAAGCACCGGCUAACUGUGCAGCAGCCGCGGGUAAUACGUAGGGUGCAAGCGUUAAUCAGAUUGCACAGGCGUAAAGCGUGCGCAGGCGGUUCGGAGAAAGAUGUAAAUCCCAGAGCUUAACUUUGGAACUGCACAUUUUAACUACCAGGCUGAAGUGUGUCAGAGGUGGAAUUCCAUAGACAACGGCUGGCGAUGAAAUGCGUGAUAUGCGGAGGAACUUACCGAUGGCGAAGGCAGCCUCUGGGAUAACACUGACGCUCAUGCACAACGUGGGAGCAAACAGGAUUAAAAUGCCCUGGUAGUCCACGCCCUAGAACGAUGUCAACUAGCUGUUGAAAACACCAGUAUGGGCGGCGUGGCGUUGAAGGAUUGAUGCUGAGAGUGCGGUCAGCUAAGAUUAAAACUCAAGGAAUUGACGGGGACCCGCACAAGCGGUGGAUGAUGUGGAUUAAUUCGAUGGAAAGCAUGAAAACCUUACCUACCGCCAACAUAUCAGGUCCCGAAGAUUUGGGAGGCAACCAUGAAACUACAGGUUUUUUGGGGGUGCUUUAUAGCUGUCGUCAGCUCGUGUCGUGAGAUGUUGGGUUGAUCACAACGAAGCGCAACCCUUGUCAUUAGUUACUACGAAAGGGCACUCUAAUGAGACUGCCGGUGACAAACCGGAGGAAGGUGGGGAUGACGUCAAGUCACUGGCGUGGUGGAACGCCACGUCAUACAAUGGUCGGGACAGAGGGUCGCCAACCCGCGAGGAGCCAAUCCCAGAAACCCGAUCGUAGUCCGGAUCGCAGUCUGCAACUCGACUGCGUGAAGUCGGAAUCGCUAGUAUCGCGGAUCAGCAUGUCGCGGUGAAUACGUUCCCGGGUCUUGUACCGCCCCGUCACCCAUGGGAGUGGGUUUUACCAAAGUAGUUAGCCUAACCAUGGAGGGCGAUUACCACGGUAGGAUUCAUGACUGGGGUAAGUCGUAGCUAAGGUAA
rnacentral:rRNA from 1 species